UCUUUUCCUUUUGUUUCAGCCGCCGCGGUAAAACGUAGGUCACAAGCGUUGUCCGGAAUUACUGGGUGUAAAGGGAGCGCAGGCGGGAAGACAAGUUGGAAGUGAAAUCCAUGGGCUCAACCCAUGAACUGCUUUCAAAACUGUUUUUCUUGAGUAGUGCAGAGGUAGGCGGAAUUCCCGGUGUAGCGGUGGAAUGCGUAGAUAUCGGGAGGAACACCAGUGGCGAAGGCGGCCUACUGGGCACCAACUGACGCUGAGGCUCGAAAGUGUGGGUAGCAAACAGG
rnacentral:rRNA from 1 species